UACGUAGGUGGCAAGCGUUGUCCGGAUUUAUUGGGUUUAAAGGGUGCGUAGGUGGGCAGGUAAGUCAGUGGUGAAAUCUCCGGGCUUAACUCGGAAACUGCCAUUGAUACUAUCUGUCUUGAAUACCGUGGAGGUCAGCGGAAUAUGUCAUGUAGCGGUGAAAUGCUUAGAUAUGACAUAGAACACCAAUUGCGAAGGCAGCUGGCUACACGAAUAUUGACACUGAUGCACGAAAGCGUGGGGAUCAAACAGG
rnacentral:rRNA from 1 species